UCUCCGUUGGUGAACCAGCGGAGGGAUCAUUACCGAGUUUACAACUCCCAAACCCCUGUGAACAUACCUGUUUUGUUGCUUCGGCGGUGCCCUCGCUCUCGCGGCGAGGCCCGCCAGAGGACCCAAACAAACUCUUUGACUUUGAUUUAGGAUUAUACUUCUGAGUGAUACAAAAAAUAAAAUCAAAACUUUCAACAACGGAUCUCUUGGUUCUG
rnacentral:misc_RNA from 1 species